ACAUACUACACACUACAUGCCGAUCUCAAGACUACAAAACAGUUUGCUGUGGCAUAAAUCACACUGCGUAUAAUUCUAAACUUAUUCUACUUUCGUUCAGAAUGUAAAGAUUGUUAAGAAAUUGAAUAUUUGUAUGUGAUUAAUUGAUCUAUAAAAGUUAAUAAUUUCUGUAGACCUUUUUAAGCCGUGUGUGAAGUGUAAUCCUUACGUUUGAACAGUGACAGUGCAAAAUUCCAAAAAUUCUAACGGUCUAAUUCGAAACUUAGACAAGUUUAUGGGUGAUAAAAGAUUUCACAUGUUCUUGGUGCCAUUAUUUAUAAUACAAAACAUGUUAUAAAAGCUAUUUAGUGUGUUUGUAAACGGAGAAACGAAAUAAUGAAUUAUUCCCAUUUCCGUCUCUCGUCCUAUUAUUCAACUUUUCGUUUAUAUUAGACUGCUUAGUUCAGUGUUUCCAAAUUUAGUUUAAUGUUUUGAAGGUACAUUCUGCAAUGUUUAUAAACUUACCAAAAGUAUAUAUCAAAUAUUUUUAAAGUAUUAAAUACAAAGAUACGUAUCAAUUUUACCAUUUACUAUUUAUUUUACAUUUUACUAAAGGAAUCAAUGAACUUUUUAUAAUUACAAGUAAAAUGUAUAGUGUUCAAAAUUAAUUCUAUAAAAUUGAGGUUCAGAAGUUAUAACUAAAGUAUAAUGUGUAUAUGCCAUAACAAGAUCAAAAAAACUUCACACUAAUGGCGUUACUUCCGCCGGAUCCUAUAUACCUUUUCCGAAGUGAUAUGGGAAGUAUUCAUUCUAUUCUUUUUCAAAUAACUUCCCAUGUAGAACUACUUUAUGCAGGUACUGGUAAAGGAAAUGUUCAUGUCUGGAAUUUAGAAACAAAUCGACAGUUGUGUCAGUUUAGAUCAGGUCAAGAGUCAUGUUUAAGUUUACAAAGUUUGGAUGGAGAGAACUUGUUUGUACAACAUAAAUGUGGUUUAAUAAAUGCAUAUAUAAGAACCGAAUCCGACUGGAUUAAGUACAAAUCAAUUGAUAUAGAUUUUUAUCAUUAUUGCAGGUUUCAAACAUUUUCUCAAAAUGAGCUAUUUGUACCACUUAAGGAAUCUAAAGUUGGAAUAUUAUCUACAAAUACAUUUAGCAUGGAGUUAGAACUGAGUCCUCCAAACAUUGAACAGUUAGGAGAAGUGAUGGUAAUCAAACCAAUGAAACAUAAACAAUUGGUUUUAGUGGGUUAUGAAUGCGGCAAAUUACUUUUAUGGGACAUUAGACAAAACAAGAUUUUAAAUUACUUAGUAACUGAACCAUGUCCAAUGGCUUUGGAUUUUGAUAUUACUUUAAUGAAAGGUAUAAUUUCUGGACCUUCAGAUCAGUUACAGGUAUUUACUUUGUCAGAAAAUCAUAUAUUUUGUGAUAGAACAAAAAUUAAAUUGACAAAUCCUGGCACAUCUGUAAUCACUAUAAGGCCUGAUACUAAGAUUGUAGCAAUUGGAGGAUGGGACAGUCGAGUUCGAAUAUAUUCUUGGAAAAAUUUAAGACCAUUAGCUGUUCUGGACCAACAUAGAGAUACAGUACAGGACAUUGGAUACUCUUCAGAUAAAAACAAUGGACGCGCAAUUGACAAAAAAAUUGAAAAAUUGCAACAUCGAUGAUGACACCGCCGCCAUAGCCAAUGGCAAAAUAUUUUCGUGUGCGGUUGCGAUCACAGAUGCAUAUAAUGCAGGGAAGAUGGCUGGAAUUGGCUGUCAGAACGUAGAUGCGAUCGCAGUCGCUUACGCGACUGGAUUGAGGGCCGCUGCCACCGACUCAUCAAAAUCAUCUUUUCCCAGCGGUGUUCAAUAGCUUCGAUACACUGUUUAUAGCAAGAACCAUCGAGAACUCCUCAAAAUAGCCAUUAACAGCAGACUCCACCUCUUCAUUAUUGAAAAAUGUUUUACUACCGAGCCAUUUUUUCAACUCCUGGGAACGAUGGACCGAAUGGGAUGAUAAUAAUUACGCAGCGAGAACAAUAAUGAUAAAUAAUAUGACUAAGGCGCAAUUACUUAAAUACAGUCAUGGGCGGAUAAACUAUGGACAAUGAUCAAACUGGAUAUGGUCGCGGGAACUGAAGAAAUAAAAUCUAGAAUUCUUAACGAAAUAACAAAUUUGAAAAUGGAUAAGGACGAAACCGUUGAUGCAUUUGUAAACAGAGCAGAGGCGUUAAGAAACCAAUGCAAACAGCUCGGGAAGGAUAUUGAAGAGAGAGAAUUCGAAUUAAAAAUGUACAUAUUAAGAGGACUCCAUCCCGAAUUCAACCCAAAUGUACGGGUUUUAGAAAUGCAAAGAAAUGUAUCAAUAUUUGACAUAAGAUUUGCUCUAAAACAAGAGAUCCUGAGGAGAAAAGGAAACGCUCCAAAGAAGGGCCUAAGAGUAAUAUCUAUUAUUACAACUGCGGAGCAUAGGGACAUAUGGCUGCAGAGUGUAACCAAAAGAAACGUUGCUUUAAUUGCCAACUCUUCGACUACAUUGCAUUGGAGUGUCGCGAGCCGAGGAGGAAUCUAUUAUCUGCGAGAAGAGGACAGGGAGGAAAUUCCCAGGAAGGAAGCCGAGGAAGAUUCACGAGACAGCACCCUGGGAGAAAUGAAACAGCACUGAGGACUGAUAAUGAAGCCGUAAUGAGAGUAAAAGAAAUUUCGCAUAUGGACAAACUGUGUGAGGUAAGAGAGAUUCAAGUUAAAAAACAGAUUACUUUAGCGAUUUGAAAAUUAACUUGUACGCUAAUUUAUUAUGUCUUCCUCAUUUUAUUUGGAUUCGAAAAACGCAAUUCGUGUUGUACAACUUUCGAAUUUUAAUUUGAUUAAAUAAAAUACUUCAAUUGAAUACAUUUUUGAGAUGGGGUUGACAUGACAAUCGAAGUAUCAAUUGUUGCCUUCAUCCCUGCGUGCGCAAGGUGAUGUAAGGAGACGACUGCCUGUUUUCAAAAGGGUUUUUUAAUAGCAAUAUCGCAAUAUACAUCCGUUGUGAUUCUAAGUCGUUUUAGCUGUAACGAAAUGUCAAACGCUGUAAUUUAUGGUCAGUUUUCCUUUUGCAAAUUAUUUAAACUUUAUAGACGCUGAACCUGAUUCUAUUCUAGACAGUGCGUUUGUCACUUCGUUGUUUUUUCCGCUAAUGUGUCGAAUGUCAGUCGUACAUUGCACUCAAUGUCCAUUAAAAAAUCUUCUUUGUACGGUAAUAGAUAAUGGUCAUUAAUUGUACUGGUAUUUAAAGCACGGUAGUCUUUGCAGUAGGGUUAAUACAAGAAUAAAAAGUUCUCAGAAUGUUAAUUUCCAACUCAAACACUGCCCGAAGUUUUAGGGCGUUGUAAAGUAUUUAUGAGACGCUGAUCCAUUUGUGUCUCUUCUUCAUCAAAUCGAGGCUUCACCUACAUUUCUUCAUUUGAAAUCGUGUGAAGGGCUAAUGUCCGCUGGCCCUUUCAAAAUCGUAAAUGGCCCUGGUACAUCAAACUCGAAUUCCGCUUUUGCGACUUUUUACGUCCGUGGAUAAUCUGCACAGUUUGCAAAUGGUCAGAAAGAUCAGCUAAGUCAAAGUAGUAUCAAUAGAAUGGAUAAUAUCGUAUUUGAUCUUAUUCGAAGCCACUACGAUGUUCGACAAGUCUGCCAGCAGGUACUCAUAGGGACUUUCCUUCCAAUAUUAAACAGCGAUGUCGACUGGUCCAUUAAUUGACGGUUUGUCAGGUCUAUCAGCAGAUCGCACUUAAAAAGGAAAUCAGCUUCGAUACAUCUACGAUAAAUUUUUACUGGAAACCUCGUCGUGGACCGGGUUGAAGUAGAACGACUCUACAUCAUAGCUGCUGCUGAGGGAACCAUUUGCCACAAACAUUUCAUAUCUCGACUUCGUGGUUUGGCAUUUAUUGUGCGUGCGAGGAUACGUCCACAUGUUCAAGAAAGUGUUCACUAGAUAUAUUCCUCCAUCGUCUGUUGAUCGACGACGGAGAUCCAUAGGUCAACAUUGAUCGCCGUAUUAACUGGUGUGUAUCCUAGUUUCCUGAGUCAUUCUCUGAUCGCAUCGCUUCUUACAUCUAGUUCAGAUGUAAGGUAGGUGCGACCUAAAGUAGGUCUCGCACUCCAAAUUUGCAGUGAGACCCCACCUCUCAUGCUGUCGAGUUUCCUCUUCUCCGUGUGUUUGAGCGUCUUCAUAAAUAUCUGUUUGGGCGAUACCAUGUGCCAGAUUGCGAUAGUGCCGACACCUGCAAUUGGCAAUCUCUCUUGUUUUUUGUGGAGCAUCUCAAAAUCGUUUUGUCUUUAGAGGAGCUCGCGAUUUCAGUUUGAACAAUACUCAAGUGGAUUCUGUCGCCUAUUUAUGAUAGCUUGCGUCUGUUUUAGUUUCUGUCUCCUAUGUCUUCCUUUUCUUCGAUAGCCUCUCGAUACGUGGAUUUUGGGGCACUGAAGAUCAACGGUCCUACUCCUUUUUUGGCGUUCCAUAUUUCUUAUUUUCCGAUGUGUUCCUUGUUAAAAACGUCCGCACUUGUAGCAUGUAUAUUGACUAACUGCGCUGUAGAAUUUGGUUGUCUUGUUGAAGUUGUUUAGCGGGAUUUGUGCGGCUCGUGUUGAUGGAACCAGAACGAUGAAACACGAUAAAUGUAUACAUUGAUGCAGCUUAUCUUCGAAGUCGCCGGCGAAUCUUCUAACAUUUGCUUACAUUCAUGUUUUUCAGUUAGUCUCUUCUCUAUACCGUACAAGAAACAUAAAACACUAAACUGCGAUUAAGUCGAGGUCACCAAAUAAAGUCGCAAUAAAAUCACAGUGUCGUUUUUCUCCAUUUUUAUUUUUUAAACUACUUAAUGAGAACAGGUCUACCGCCACGUAUUAUUCGUAUAUAUAUACACGUUAUCUCUAAUAGUCGUUCUAGGGUUUCGCUAGUUGCUAGCCACAACAUUAUAAUUAUAUAUUCAUAUUUCAUUGGCUUUCUUCAAAUUUACUUUCAUGUUUAUUGAUCUUUUAUUACAAAAUAAAUAAGUCAAGUCAUGUACA